UUUCCGUAGGUGAACCUGCGGAAGGAUCAUUGUCGAAACCUGCCCAGCAGAACGACCCGCGAACUUGUAUAAACAACCGGGGGCGGGGGGCGUUCUCGCCCCGUGCCCCCGAACGGCGGGGAGACACUCGUGCCUUCUUGCCGAACAACGAACCCCGGCGCGGUCUGCGCCAAGGAACUUCAACUAAAGAGUGCCUCCGGUCGCCUCGGAAACGGCGUGCGUGCCGGGGGCGAAUCUUGUGCAAAACCAUAACGACUCUCGGCAACGGAUAUCUCGGCUCUCGCAUCGGUGAAGAACGCAGC
rnacentral:misc_RNA from 1 species